rnacentral:tRNA from 1 species
GCCGGAGUGGUGAAAUUGGUAGACGCAGAGGACUCAAAAUCCUCCGAACGUAAGUUCGUGUCGGUUCGAUUCCGACCUCCGGCACCA